rnacentral:tRNA from 1 species
AUUUAAAUAAUUUAAAUAAAAUAUUGAUUUGUGGAAUCAAAAAUAUGGCGGAGCCAUUUUAAAUU